UUUUUGUGAUUUUAACUCAAAAAUUCCUAAAGAGAAACAAAACUUAGCCAAAUUUUUUGUUUUUAUUUUGCUAAGUGUAAUUUGCCAUAGAAAAAAAAUCGAUCAAAAACCAACAUUGAGUGGAAAACAAUAAAACAUAAACGUCAAACAAUUACCAACCCCAUCAAGGCUUUAAGCGGUGCGGCCUCAUUGCAUGGAUGGUUGGUUAGUCGGUUGGUUGCCUGCUUCGUGGUGUAUGACAGCUUUAACUAGAAUUAAGUAACGAAAAGAAAACAAAAGAAAAGGACAAUCCUAGAGCUAACCACAUGCAUACACACAAAUGUAAUGGCAAAGGAAAGCGUGAAAACAAAAGCAAAACAGAAAAUAUAAAAAUAAAACAAAUAAAA